ensembl:misc_RNA 7SK 7SK RNA
GGAUGUGAGGGAGAUCUGGUUGAGACAUCUGUCACCCCAUUGAUCGCCAGGGUUGAUUCGGCUGAUCUGGCUAGCUAGGCAGGUGUCCCCUUCCUCCCUCACUGCUUCAUGUGCAUCCCUCCCAAAGCUGUGCGCUCGGUCGAAGAGGACAACCUUCCCCAAUAGAGGAGGACCGGUCUUCGGUCAAGGGUAUAUGAGUAGUGCGCUCCCCUGAUAGAGCCUCCAAACAAGCUCUCAAGAGUGCUUCUACAAAUAAAAAGUAAAAAUUAAAAAAAAUAAACAAAAGAAAUACUGCAUAGGAAAACACUUAAGUAU